UGGAUCCAGACUUUGAUUCUGGCUCAGGAUGAACGCUAGCUACAGGCUUAACACAUGCAAGUCGAGGGGCAGCGGGAUUGAAGCUUGCUUCAAUUGCCGGCGACCGGCGCACGGGUGAGUAACGCGUAUCCAACCUUCCGUACACUCAGGGAUAGCCUUUCGAAAGAAAGAUUAAUACCUGAUGGUAUGAUGAGAUUGCAUGAUAGCAUCAUUAAAGAUUUAUCGGUGUACGAUGGGGAUGCGUUCCAUUAGGUAGUAGGCGGGGUAACGGCCCACCUAGCCAACGAUGGAUAGGGGUUCUGAGAGGAAGGUCCCCCACAUUGGAACUGAGACACGGUCCAAACUCCUACGGGAGGCAGCAGUGAGGAAUAUUGGUCAAUGGACGAGAGUCUGAACCAGCCAAGUAGCGUGAAGGAUGAAGGUCCUACGGAUUGUAAACUUCUUUUAUAAGGGAAUAAACCCUCCCACGUGUGGGAGCUUGUAUGUACCUUAUGAAUAAGCAUCGGCUAACUCCGUGCCAGCAGCCGCGGUAAUACGGAGGAUGCGAGCGUUAUCCGGAUUUAUUGGGUUUAAAGGGAGCGCAGACGGGUCGUUAAGUCAGCUGUGAAAGUUUGGGGCUCAACCUUAAAAUUGCAGUUGAUACUGGCGUCCUUGAGUGCGGUUGAGGUGUGCGGAAUUCGUGGUGUAGCGGUGAAAUGCUUAGAUAUCACGAAGAACUCCGAUUGCGAAGGCAGCACACUAAUCCGUAACUGACGUUCAUGCUCGAAAGUGUGGGUAUCAAACAGGAUUAGAUACCCUGGUAGUCCACACGGUAAACGAUGGAUACUCGCUGUUGGCGAUAUACUGUCAGCGGCUUAGCGAAAGCGUUAAGUAUCCCACCUGGGGAGUACGCCGGCAACGGUGCAACUCAAAGGAAUUGACGGA
rnacentral:rRNA from 2 species